rnacentral:rRNA from 1 species
GGUUAAGUGGGAAACGAUGUGGGAAGGCCCAGACAGCCAGGAUGUUGGCUUAGAAGCAGCCAUCAUUUAAAGAAAGCGUAAUAGCUCACUGGUCGAGUCGGCCUGCGCGGAAGAUGUAACGGGGCUAAACCAUGCACCGAAGCUGCGGCAGCGACACUGUGUGUUGUUGGGUAGGGGAGCGUUCUGUAAGCCUGUGAAGGUGUGCUGUGAGGCAUGCUGGAGGUAUCAGAAGUGCGAAUGCUGACAUAAGUAACGAUAAAGCGGGUGAAAAGCCCGCUCGCCGGAAGACCAAGGGUUCCUGUCCAACGUUAAUCGGGGCAGGGUGAGUCGACCCCUAAGGCGAGGCCGAAAGGCGUAGUCGAUGGGAAACAGGUUAAUAUUCCUGUACUUGGUGUUACUGCGAAGGGGGGACGGAGAAGGCUAUGUUGGCCGGGCGACGGUUGUCCCGGUUUAAGCGUGUAGGCUGGUUUUCCAGGCAAAUCCGGAAAAUCAAGGCUGAGGCGUGAUGACGAGGCACUACGGUGCUGAAGCAACAAAUGCCCUGCUUCCAGGAAAAGCCUCUAAGCAUCAGGUAACAUCAAAUCGUACCCCAAACCGACACAGGUGGUCAGGUAGAGAAUACCAAGGCGCUUGAGAGAACUCGGGUGAAGGAACUAGGCAAAAUGGUGCCGUAACUUCGGGAGAAGGCACGCUGAUAUGUAGGUGAAGUCCCUCGCGGAUGGAGCUGAAAUCAGUCGAAGAUACCAGCUGGCUGCAACUGUUUAUUAAAAACACAGCACUGUGCAAACACGAAAGUGGACGUAUACGGUGUGACGCCUGCCCGGUGCCGGAAGGUUAAUUGAUGGGGUCAGCGCAAGCGAAGCUCUUGAUCGAAGCCCCGGUAAACGGCGGCCGUAACUAUAACGGUCCUAAGGUAGCGAAAUUCCUUGUCGGGUAAGUUCCGACCUGCACGAAUGGCGUAAUGAUGGCCAGGCUGUCUCCACCCGAGACUCAGUGAAAUUGAACUCGCUGUGAAGAUGCAGUGUACCCGCGGCAAGACGGAAAGACCCCGUGAACCUUUACUAUAGCUUGACACUGAACAUUGAGCCUUGAUGUGUAGGAUAGGUGGGAGGCUUUGAAGUGUGGACGCCAGUCUGCAUGGAGCCGACCUUGAAAUACCACCCUUUAAUGUUUGAUGUUCUAACGUGGACCCGUGAUCCGGGUUGCGGACAGUGUCUGGUGGGUAGUUUGACUGGGGCGGUCUCCUCCUAAAGAGUAACGGAGGAGCACGAAGGUUGGCUAAUCCUGGUCGGACAUCAGGAGGUUAGUGCAAUGGCAUAAGCCAGCUUGACUGCGAGCGUGACGGCGCGAGCAGGUGCGAAAGCAGGUCAUAGUGAUCCGGUGGUUCUGAAUGGAAGGGCCAUCGCUCAACGGAUAAAAGGUACUCCGGGGAUAACAGGCUGAUACCGCCCAAGAGUUCAUAUCGACGGCGGUGUUUGGCACCUCGAUGUCGGCUCAUCACAUCCUGGGGCUGAAGUAGGUCCCAAGGGUAUGGCUGUUCGCCAUUUAAAGUGGUACGCGAGCUGGGUUUAGAACGUCGUGAGACAGUUCGGUCCCUAUCUGCCGUGGGCGCUGGAGAACUGAGGGGGGCUGCUCCUAGUACGAGAGGACCGGAGUGGACGCAUCACUGGUGUUCGGGUUGUCAUGCCAAUGGCACUGCCCGGUAGCUAAAUGCGGAAGAGAUAAGUGCUGAAAGCAUCUAAGCACGAAACUUGCCCCGAGAUGAGUUCUCCCUGACCCUUUAAGGGUCCUGAAGGAACGUUGAAGACGACGACGUUGAUAGGCCGGGUGUGUAAGCGCAGCGAUGCGUUGAGCUAACCGGUACUAAUGAACCGUGAGGCUUAACCUU